rnacentral:lncRNA from 1 species
UCCUACUUCUUCUUCGAUCCUCUCCCUUAAAAGAAGGUAUACUUUAAAUAUUUACUUUUAGCUCUUUUUUAAUUUAAAAUAAAAAUAAAUUGAAUGAAUAUCCUUCUAGACCCAUUAUUUUUUACUAUAUAUUAUCUUUAACCAUUUUUAAACCCUUCCAUCUCUCCUUCCCCUUCUUCGAUCUUCUUUUUUUAAAAGAAGAUAUACUUUAAAUAUUUAUUUUUAUUCUUUUUUUAAUUUAAGAUGAUAGUGAAUUGGACGAAUAUCU